GGGGCGGGGGGGGCGGGGAGGGCAUUUGGUCCUGCGGUGCGCCUCCUGCAGGUGGUAGUGCUUUUUCCCUGCGUCGCCUCCGGACGCAGCGACAGGGUUCCCUGCGUGUCUGUGGCUACAAUUAUCUUACCGAAGCAAACUUCAGGUCUAGUUACUCCCUGUUCAAGAGCCUUCACCGCCGUCCCAGGAUAAAGUCCAAAGUCCUU
rnacentral:lncRNA from 1 species